rnacentral:rRNA from 1 species
UACGUAGGUGGCAAGCGUUGUCCGGAUUUACUGGGCGUAAAGAGCGCGCAGGCGGUCGUUCAAGUCGCGUGUGAAAGCCCCCGGCUCAACUGGGGAGGGUCACGCGAUACUGAUCGACUCGAAGGCAGGAGAGGGAAGUGGAAUUCCCGGUGUAGUGGUGAAAUGCGUAGAUAUCGGGAGGAACACCAGUGGCGAAGGCGACUUCCUGGCCGUCGUUCGUGACGCUGAGGCGCGAAAGCGUGGGGAGCGAACAGG